AUGCGAAGCAGCCACAGUUCGAUGCAAAAUGCGUUGAAUAGGGAUUUCCCUUAUGAUAUCGGGUUUCCGAGACACACGUUCUAUCAAAUUGAGCUUUUCGGAAGAUUCUGUUAUUGUUAUUUAUUAAAAGAACUUCAUAAAGUAAAAUAUCGAGGUGCAAGCCCUGCAACGUCAUUUGACUUUUGUCUCUCCAAAGCGGGUACAACCCAAUUAUUCCCUUCUUUGUAUAGUUGGAUUAUUUGCCCUUUAGUGGGGGAUCUGUCAUGUGCACUUGUGUGGAUGGCUUCUAGGCCUUCAGUAUGA
rnacentral:rRNA from 1 species